rnacentral:lncRNA from 1 species
AAGUGCGGAAAACAGGUAGACACGGUUGAAGGCAAUGGGUUGAGUGGUUAAAGUAGAGGGAAUGGUGAAAAUAGGACUACCAAAGGGAUCAAUGAUUGGGGCAUUGAUGAUGGAGUGAUGGUUGAAAUUGGUUAGAGACAACAAAGACGGAAGCAAGCAAACUGAGACAGGUGGCUGGAGAUGCAGGGACCAGCCCGCGGUUGUUAAGGGUGAAGACCAAAAACAUCAAAGACGUGGAAAGGCAGUUGCACACAUACGGGUUGGGAGAAGAUCCAGGG